rnacentral:rRNA from 1 species
CCUGGCUCAGGAUGAACGCUAGCGACAGGCUUAACACAUGCAAGUCGAGGGGCAGCACAGGUAGCAAUACCGGGUGGCGACCGGCGCACGGGUGAGUAACGCGUAUGCAACUUGCCCAUCAGAGGGGGAUAACCCGGCGAAAGUCGGACUAAUACCGCAUGAAGCAGGGGCCCCGCAUGGGGAUAUUUGCUAAAGAUUCAUCGCUGAUAGAUAGGCAUGCGUUCCAUUAGGCAGUUGGCGGGGUAACGGCCCACCAAACCGACGAUGGAUAGGGGUUCUGAGAGGAAGGUCCCCCACAUUGGUACUGAGACACGGACCAAACUCCUACGGGAGGCAGCAGUGAGGAAUAUUGGUCAAUGGGCGUAAGCCUGAACCAGCCAAGUCGCGUGAGGGAUGAAGGUUCUAUGGAUCGUAAACCUCUUUUAUAAGGGAAUAAAGUGCGGGACGUGUCCCGUUUUGUAUGUACCUUAUGAAUAAGGAUCGGCUAACUCCGUGCCAGCAGCCGCGGUAAUACGGAGGAUCCGAGCGUUAUCCGGAUUUAUUGGGUUUAAAGGGUGCGUAGGCGGCCUUUUAAGUCAGCGGUGAAAGUCUGUGGCUCAACCAUAGAAUUGCCGUUGAAACUGGGGGGCUUGAGUAUGUUUGAGGCAGGCGGAAUGCGUGGUGUAGCGGUGAAAUGCUUAGAUAUCACGCAGAACCCCGAUUGCGAAGGCAGCCUGCCAAGCCAUGACUGACGCUGAUGCACGAAAGCGUGGGGAUCAAACAGGAUUAGAUACCCUGGUAGUCCACGCAGUAAACGAUGAUCACUAGCUGUUUGCGAUACACUGUAAGCGGCACAGCGAAAGCGUUAAGUGAUCCACCUGGGGAGUACGCCGGCAACGGUGAAACUCAAAGGAAUUGACGGGGGCCCGCACAAGCGGAGGAACAUGUGGUUUAAUUCGAUGAUACGCGAGGAACCUUACCCGGGUUUGAACGCAUUCGGACCGAGGUGGAAACACCUUUUCUAGCAAUAGCCGUUUGCGAGGUGCUGCAUGGUUGUCGUCAGCUCGUGCCGUGAGGUGUCGGCUUAAGUGCCAUAACGAGCGCAACCCUUGCCACUAGUUACUAACAGGUUAGGCUGAGGACUCUGGUGGGACUGCCAGCGUAAGCUGCGAGGAAGGCGGGGAUGACGUCAAAUCAGCACGGCCCUUACAUCCGGGGCGACACACGUGUUACAAUGGCGUGGACAAAGGGAAGCCACCUGGCGACAGGGAGCGAAUCCCCAAACCACGUCUCAGUUCGGAUCGGAGUCUGCAACCCGACUCCGUGAAGCUGGAUUCGCUAGUAAUCGCGCAUCAGCCAUGGCGCGGUGAAUACGUUCCCGGGCCUUGUACACACCGCCC